AGCGAACGCUGGCGGCAGGCUUAACACAUGCAAGUCGAGCGGGCGUAGCAAUACGUCAGCGGCAGACGGGUGAGUAACGCGUGGGAACAUACCUUUUGGUUCGGAACAACACAGGGAAACUUGUGCUAAUACCGGAUAAGCCCUUACGGGGAAAGAUUUAUCGCCGAAAGAUUGGCCCGCGUCUGAUUAGCUAGUUGGUGAGGUAACGGCUCACCAAGGCGACGAUCAGUAGCGGUCUGAGAGGAUGAUCAGCCACAUUGGGACUGAGACACGGCCCAAACUCCUACGGGAGGCAGCAGGUGGGGAAUAUUGGACAAUGGGCGCAAGCCUGAUCCAGCCAUGCCGNGUGAGUGAUGAAGGCCCUAGGGUUGUAAAGCUCUUUUGUGCGGGAAGAUAAUGACGGUACCGCAAGAAUAACGCCCCGGCUAACUUCGUGCCAGCCGCCGCCGUAAC
rnacentral:rRNA from 1 species